AACGAACGCUGGCGGCAUGCCUAACACAUGCAAGUCGAACGAGACCUUCGGGUCUAGUGGCGCACGGGUGCGUAACGCGUGGGAACCUGCCCUUAGGUUCGGAAUAACUCCCCGAAAGGGGUGCUAAUACCGGAUAAUGUCUUCGGACCAAAGAUUUAUCGCCUUUGGUUGGGCCCGCGUUGGAUUAGCUAGUUGGUAGGGUAAAAGCCUACCAAGGCGACGAUCCAUAGCUGGUCUGAGAGGAUGAUCAGCCACACUGGGACUGAGACACGGCCCAGACUCCUACGGGAGGCAGCAGUGGGGAAUAUUGGACAAUGGGCGAAAGCCUGAUCCAGCAAUGCCGCGUGAGUGAUGAAGGCCUUAGGGUUGUAAAGCUCUUUUACCCGGGAUGAUAAUGACAGUACCGGGAGGAUAAGCUCCGGCUAACUCCGUG
rnacentral:rRNA from 1 species